AAGAAUCGUGAGUCAGCUGCAAGGUCAAGAGCAAGGAAGCAGGCUUAUACUAACAAGUUGGAGCAUGAAGUGUUUCACUUGAGGAAAGCAAAUGCCUGGCUCAAGAAGCUGAAGGUAACAUAAUCACUCACACAUUUACAUGAGCCAGUUCAGAACUCAAGAAGCAAAUACCUGGCUCAAGUUAUUAUAUUUUGUAAGUUGGAAAUUAAAUUUAUGUUUAUUUUUUUUCUCUUCUAAUUUCAUUGUUGGAGCAGGAAGUGGAGAUGCUUCUAUCAACUGAUUCAACUCCUUUUCCUAGAUACCAACUCCGGCGAACAAGCUCAGCACCGUUCUAGCAUCUGUUAAUAUUUGAUAGUGAAAACAAAAUUCUUCAUUAAAAAAUUUUGCUUUAUUCAUUUCAUGGAUAGACCUACAAUUUUGACCUGCAUUGUGAGCUCUUAUUGUUGAGAGAGGCUGUGUUCAUUCUGAUAAAUUUUGGGUGAGGGUAUAGUUAGUGAAAGAGAGCCACAUACCAAUUUGAUAAGCAUGUUUAAUCUCAUUUUCUGGUUGUCUCCCAAAUCAUUGAUGCUGUGAUGCUCCGUGAAUGGAAAUUUUUCUUGUUCAGAGAGAACGGAAAAAUCAUCACCAACCGUCGUGGGUUCAGAAGAAUCAGAGAAUAUCCAUUCCUCCCCUUUCUUAUCACUAGAAACAUCAGUUGCACCGCCAACAACAACGGCCGGAGAAGAUUUGCGCUGCCUGGUCCCAACAACUGGCAGCGGGCAAACUUUGAAUUUAGAAGAGAAAUUAAGAUUUGGAGAUGACAUCUAAAGAAGAAAAGAGAAGGAGAUUGGAAAGUCGAAGAAGCUAACUCCAUUGAAAUUUAUCAGGUAGAACGCCUCGCGCUCUGAUAUCUUCUGGAAGGAGGUUUUGGCUUGCAGCUUCGUCAAAAGGGUACCGUCGCAUACAAGUGAAGGAAGAAACCUGGAACGGCAAUUUUGUCUUUUCAGAAAAUAAAUAUCGAAAAUUUGAGAACUAAUGACUGGUUGCCAGGCGCCAACGGCUCUCAAAAUUUUCAGGCCUGCAGAGCGUAGAACUUGGAAAUUUUUGC
rnacentral:misc_RNA from 1 species